AGUGUACAAGACGUGUCUACGC
rnacentral:siRNA from 1 species